AGAUAUUGGUUAACUUAUUUAAUUAACAUGCUCAUGUCGCAUUCAUUGUCGGAAUCGCAGUCAUAUUCAUCUGUAAAUCAAUUGGUGAGUUAAUUAACAUGUUUAUGCCCAAAUAAGUCACGUUUGAUUCACGAAAUUUUAAAUGAUAGGAUUGGAAUGGAAUAGUGACAAAUGAAAUAACCAUUCUCAAUUCAUAAUUUGGUAGCUUUAUGAAUUGAAUAGUCUUUUAAGUCAUAGUAAUUAACACUUGUCCAUUGCUUCUCGAGUUUGUUCAUAAAGCCAUAUAGAAGGAACUGCUUCUUUUGCCUGGAGGCGUCCCUUCGGUGAGUCAGGUCUCCAAUAUCUUCUAAAUCACUGCAGCUGUUUGUCUUUCUCCAUCUCGUCUCCUUAGUUAGUUAAGGCAGAUUUCGUCCAUUGGAUCAAGUAUUGAGAGUAUUUGUGCAAUGGUAAAAUAGAAUGAUGUGCUUUAUUUUCAGUUUUUCAUUUGUAGUAAGGGGUGCACGUCUCCUUUGUCUCAUUAAGCCUUUCAUAAACGACCUUGUUGUUUGACCGGGAGGAAGAACAACUUCAGUUAUACGUUGGCCUUGUUAUUAUUUCAUCUUUAGCAUGAAAUGUCCUUUAGUUCAUUGAAUUUAAGCUCUAACUUCAUCCUUGUUUGAUUAUUUUAAUUUCAAUCCGAUGAAUAGUUUGAUUGUCAAUGAAUUUUAAAUUGGUAGCUCGUCCAAGUAGUUUCUUUAGUAGCUAAUCCUGGUGUUGCUUCAAAUUGUCUAACAAUAUGGGCUUCUCUAGAAGGACAAGUUCGGGCCCUUUUAUUCUUUUUUUAGGAGCUUAUAUGAUCAUGCUUGAGUUCAUAUAUAAGAUAAAGUCUUACAUUAGAUAUAAAUGGAUAUUUGAAUUCAUAUUCAGGUCUUGAUGUAUUAAAGUUUUGGGUUGAAAUAUGAUAUCAAAUUCGAUUGUGUGAUUUGUUCAUAGUCCAUUAAUGAAGAUCUUUUUGAUGUUUAA
rnacentral:lncRNA from 1 species